UGGGGAAUAUUGCACAAUGGGCGCAAGCCUGAUGCAGCCAUGCCGCGUGUAUGAAGAAGGCCUUCGGGUUGUAAAGUACUUUCAGCGGGGAGGAAGGCGAUAAGGUUAAUAACCUUGUCGAUUGACGUUACCCGCAGAAGAAGCACAGGCUAACUCCGUGCCAGCAGCCGCGGUAAUACGGAGGGUGCAAGCGUUAAUCGGAAUUACUGGGCGAAAAGCGCACGCAGGCGGUCUGUCAAGUCGGAUGUGAAAUCCCCGGGCUCAACCUGGGAACUGCAUUCGAAACUGGCAGGCUAGAGUCUUGUAGAGGGGGGUAGAAUUCCAGGUGUAGCGGUGAAAUGCGUAAAGAUCUGGAGGAAUACCGGUGGCGAAGGCGGCCCCCUGGACAAAGACUGACGCUCAGGUGCGAAAGCGUGGGGAGCAAACA
rnacentral:rRNA from 1 species